rfam:Ricinus communis cultivar Hale ctg_1100012355438, whole genome shotgun sequence.
UAUCCAUGGUGUGGGCAUUGUAAUAAAAGUGACUUGAAGUGAUCCCAUGCUUCAUGAAAGGAUUUAGUAUCCUUUUGAUAAUAAUAAUAAUAAUAAUAAUAAUAAA